GCAUGAUCAAACAGGAGAUGGUGGCGGCACGCUAGGGUUUGAAUGGUGGAAGAAAGAAGAAUGGUGAAAAAAACACAAUGCAACCAGCAACAAAUGACGCGCAAGCACACAAAUUUAACAAUGCAGAUUAUUGAAAGAAAGUGCGAGCCUCAAAAGGGUGCUGGGAUAAGGUCUAACCUGAAUUUUUAUGUGGUUUUGUGGAUUGUAGGAGAAAAAAACACUCGAUAAACUCACCGAUCAACUUCGAAAUCUGAUACCACUUGAUAUAGUUGAGGUGCCCGAUCUUUCGGUGAGUGGAGAUAAUUCCGAUUUGGCGGAAGAUGACCUUUGCGAUCCGACUACGACGAGCAAGCCCGAGGCGCCAAUGCAAUCGCUGAACCAACUCCCUAUGGUUACCGACCUUGCUGAUGCGAGAUUGGUCUGGUCUCAGAAUGGUGUCAACAAGCUCCUGUAAAAAUUUCAGAUUUUUUGAACAACCGAGCGAAAAGUUAAGCCCGGGUUAAAGAAGGUACCUCAAGUUAUGGUUAAAAACGACCGAGAUGAGACUACCGCUUUGUUUCCUUUCCCUAUUUUUUGUUUGUUCUCUGGUUCUAUCCUUUCUCUUUUGUUUUCUUUUUUUUCUUUUCUUUUUUUGUUUCUGUUUUUUUUACGUAACUGAAGGAGAAAACAAGGAAGCGGUGUUGACUCGGUUUGUGCCGUGAUCAAACGGGAGAUGGUGGCGGCGCGCUAGGGUUUGAAUGGUGGAAGAAAGAAGGAUGGUGAAAAAAAACACAAUGCAACCAGCAACAAAUGACGCGUAAGCACACAAAUUCAACAAUGCAGAUUAUUGAAAGAAAGUGCGAGGCUCAAAAGGGUGCUGGGAUAAGGUCUAACCUGAAUUUUUAUGUGGUUUUGUGGACUGUAGGAGAAAAAAAACUCUCGAUAAACUCACCGAUCAACCUAGAAAUCUGAUACCACUUGAUAUAGUUGAGGUGCCCGAUCUUUCGGUGAGUGGAGAUAAUUCCGAUUUGGCGGAAGAUGACCCUUGCGAUCCGACUACGACGAGCAAGCCCGAGGCGCCAAUGCAAUCGCUGAACCAACUCCCUGUGGUUACCGACCUUGCUGACGCGAGAUCGGUCUGAUCUCAUAAUGGUGUCAACAAGCUCCUGUAAAAAUUUCAGAUUUUUUGAACAACCGAGCGAAAAGUUAUGCCCGGUUUAAGGAAGGUACCUCAAGUUAUGGUUAAAAACGACCGUGAUGAGACAACCUCUUUGUUUCCUUUCCCUAUUUUUUUGUUUGUUCUCUGGUUCUAUCCUUUCUCUUUCGUUUUCUUUUUUUCUUUUCUUUUUUUGUUUCUAUUUUUUUUACGUAACCGAAGGAGAAAAACAAGGAAGCGGCCUUGACUCGGUUUGUGGCGUGAUCAAACGGGAGAUGGUGGUGGCACGCUAGGGUUUGAAUGGUGGAAGAAAGAAGGAUGGUGAAGAAAAGCACAAUGCAACCAGCAACAAAUGAUGCGCAAGCACACAAAUUCAACAAUGCAGAUUACUGAAAGAAAUGUGAGGCUCAAAAGGGUGCUGGGAUAAGGUCUAACCUGAAUUUUUAUGUGGUUUUGUGGACUAUAGGAGAAAAAAAACUCGAUAAACUCACCAAUCAAACUGGAAAUCUGAUACCACUUGAUAUAGUUGAGGUGCCCGAUCUUUCGGUGAGUGGAGAUAAUUCCGAUUUGGCGGAAGAUGACCCUUGCGAUCUGACUACGACGAGCAAGCCCGAGGCGCCAAUGCAAUCACUGAACCAACUCCCUGUGGUUACCAACCUUGCUGAUGCGAGAUCGGUCUGAUCUCAGAAUGGUGUCAACAAGCUCCUAUAAAGAUUUCAGAUUUUUUGAACAACCGAGCGAAAAGUUAUGCCCUGUUUAAGGAAGGUACCUCAAGUUAUGGUUAAAAACGAUCCAGAUGAGACAACCGCUUUGUUUCCUUUCCCUAUUUUUUUGUUUGUUCUCUGGUUCUAUCCUUCCUCUUUUGUUUUCUUUUUUUUGUUUUCUUUUUUUUUUAUUUCUAUUUUUUUGACGUAACCGAAGGAGAAAAACAAGGAAGCGGGGUUGACUCGGUUUGUGGCGUGAUCAAACGGGAGAUGGUGGCGGCGCGCUAGGGUUUGAAUGGUGGAAGAAAGAAGGAUGGUGAAAAAAACACAAUGCAACCAGCAACAAAUGACGUGCAAGCACACAAAUUCAACAAUGCAUACUAUUGAAAGAAAGUGCGAGGCUCAAAAGGGUGCUGGGAUAAGGUCUAACCUAAGUUUUUAUGUGGUUUUGUGGACUGUAGGAGAAAAAAACACUCGAUAAACUCACCGAUCAACCUGGAAAUCUGAUACCACUUGAUAUAGUUGAGGUGCCCGAUCUUUCGGUGAGUGGAGAUAAUUCCGAUUUGGCGGAAGAUGACCCUUGCGAUCCGACUACGACGAGCAAGCCCGAGGCGCCAAUGCAAUCGCUGAACCAACUCUCUGUGGUUACCGACCUUGCUGAUGCGAGAUCGAUCUGAUCUCAAAAUGGUGUCAACAAGCUCGUGUAAAAAUUUCAGAUUUUUUGAACAACCGAGC
rnacentral:lncRNA from 1 species